rnacentral:rRNA from 1 species
GACAGAGGGUGCAAACGUUGCUCGGAAUUACUGGGCGUAAAGCGCGUGUAGGCGGGUCGGCAAGUCAGAUGUGAAAUCCCUGGGCUCAACCUAGGAACUGCAUUUGAAACUGCCGGUCUCGAGUGAUGGAGAGGAGAGCGGAAUUCCUGGUGUAGAGGUGAAAUUCGUAGAUAUCAGGAGGAACACCGGUGGCGAAGGCGGCUCUCUGGACAUCUACUGACGCUGAGACGCGAAAGCGUGGGGAGCAAAC